rnacentral:lncRNA from 1 species
UGAACGCCAUCAACAGCGGGAGCUACCGGGGGCUGCGCUGGAUCGACUCUGCCCACACCAUCUUCCGCGUCCCCUGGAAGCACAACGCCAGGAAGGACAUCACCAGCAGUGACCUGGAGGUCUUCAAGGGCUGGGCAAAGGUCAGUGGGCGGUAUGAGGAAGGCUCUGAGGACCCGGCCAAGUGGAAGACCAACUUCCGCUGUGCCCUGAGCAGCACCCACUUGUUCAAGCUGGAACAGGACCAUUCCAAGCGUGGUGAUGACCCCCACAAGGUCUUCUCCAUUGUCUCAGGUGAGCCUCGCCCCAUGGAGGGGCUGUGUUGGAUGGGCUGGGCCAUCUCAGGGCCUCCCAUUCCUAGUGCUCUCCUUUCAGCCACCCUCCAGGACGGCAAGGACAGAGAUUCCAACAUCCCUAACCCUGUGGUGGACCAGAAGGCAGCACAACAGCAGCUGCAGCUGGAGCUCCACCCCCAAGACAUGGCCUCAGCCAUUGCUGUCCCAGGAAGCAUCGACCCUGCAGAACUCUCGAUUCUGGAGGAGCUGUUGCAGCAGUGUGACAUCUCUCCCCGUGACCUUGGCUCACUGGCCCCAUCCUGGGUGCCCGCAGGUGAUUUCCCUGCAGGGGACACUCCCCACCAGGACAUUGUGCUCCAGCCUCACCAGGACACCCUGCUCCAGCCUUAUGCAGACACCAGCCAAAACAGCUGCUUCCCUCCCACGACAUUUCCACAAUGGGUGCCCGCAGUGGAGCAGCCCACCUUGGACACCUACCAACCAACAGGCCUCAUGCCACCAGAGGAGACAGGGGCCAUGCCACCGCCGUGCCACCUGACGGAGGGCACGGUCCCCAUGCAGUACGUGGCAGAGGCGACGGUGUUCAUGCCCGCCGCCAGCCCUGUGCCACAGCCACGGCUGCUGAUGGAUAACACAGAUGGCAUCAUGUCCAUCCUGGAUAUCACCAUCUACUACCGGGGGAAGGAGCUCCACCGGGAGGUGGUGGGCGGCAGCCGCUGCCUGCUGACGUACCCGUGCCCNNNNNNNNNNNNNNNNNNNNNNNNNNNNNNNNNNNNNNNNNNNNNNNNNNNNNNNNNNNNACGGGCGCUUCACCGAGGAGCUGCUGGGCAUGGCAGGGCUGCAGCUGGAACAUCGCGCCCACAAGGUCUUUGCCACCCGCCGGGAGAAGUGCAAGGUGUUCUGGGCCUUGUCCCGGCAGCUCGAGGGGGUCGAGGAGCCCCCACCCAACCUGCUCUGCCGGGACCAGGAAACGCCCAUCUUUGA